rnacentral:rRNA from 1 species
CACGUAGGGCGCAAGCGUUGUCCGGAAUUAUUGGGCGUAAAGAGCUCGUAGGCGGUCUGUUGCGUCCGCUGUGAAAACUCGGGGCUUAACCCCGAGCCUGCAGUGGAUACGGGCAGACUAGAGGUAGGUAGGGGAGAAUGGAAUUCCCGGUGUAGCGGUGAAAUGCGCAGAUAUCAGGAGGAACACCGGUGGCGAAGGCGGGUCUCUAGUACGGUACUGACGCUGAGACGCGAAAGCGUGGGGAGCGAACAGG